rnacentral:rRNA from 1 species
AUUUCCGAAUGGGGAAACCCAGCAUGAGUUAUGUCAUGUUAUCGAUAUGUGAAUACAUAGCAUAUCAGAAGGCACACCCGGAGAACUGAAACAUCUUAGUACCCGGAGGAAGAGAAAGAAAAUUCGAUUCCCUUAGUAGCGGCGAGCGAAACGGGAAGAGCCCAAACCAACAAGCUUGCUUGUUGGGGUUGUAGGACACUCUAUACGGAGUUACAAAGGACGACAUUAGACGAAUCAUCUGGAAAGAUGAAUCAAAGAAGGUAAGAAUCCUGUAGUCGAAAAUGUUGUCUCUCUUGAGUGGAUCCUGAGUACGACGGAGCACGUGAAAUUCCGUCGGAAUCUGGGAGGACCAUCUCCUAAGGCUAAAUACUCUCUAGUGACCGAUAGUGAACCAGUACCGUGAGGGAAAGGUGAAAAGCACCCCGGAAGGGGAGUGAAAUAGAACCUGAAACCGUGUGCUUACAAGUAGUCAGAGCCCGUUAAUGGGUGAUGGCGUGCCUUUUGUAGAAUGAACCGGCGAGUUACGAUUUGAUGCAAGGUUAAGCAGUAAAUGUGGAGCCGUAGCGAAAGCGAGUCUGAAUAGGGCGUUUAGUAUUUGGUCGUAGACCCGAAACCAGGUGAUCUACCCUUGGUCAGGUUGAAGUUCAGGUAACACUGAAUGGAGGACCGAACCGACUUACGUUGAAAAGUGAGCGGAUGAACUGAGGGUAGCGGAGAAAUUCCAAUCGAACCUGGAGAUAGCUGGUUCUCUCCGAAAUAGCUUUAGGGCUAGCCUCAAGUGAUGAUUAUUGGAGGUAGAGCACUGUUUGGACGAGGGGCCCCUCUCGGGUUACC